UACGAAGGGGGCUAGCGUUGCCCGGAAUCACUGGGCGUAAAGCGCACGUAGGCGGCCUCUUAAGUCGGUGGUGAAAUCCUGGAGCUCAACUCCAGAACUGCCUUCGAUACUGAGAGUCUCGAGUCCGGGAGAGGUGAGUGGAACUGCGAGUGUAGAGGUGAAAUUCGUAGAUAUUCGCAAGAACACCAGUGGCGAAGGCGGCUCACUGGCCCGGUACUGACGCUGAGGUGCGAAAGCGUGGGGAGCAAACCGG
rnacentral:rRNA from 1 species